rnacentral:rRNA from 1 species
AGAGUUUGAUCCUGGCUCAGGAUGAACGCUGGCGGCGUGCUUAACACAUGCAAGUCGAACGCACCUUCGGGUGAGUGGCGGACGGGUGAGUAACGCGUGGGAAUCUGCCCUUAGGAGGGGGAUAACGGCUGGAAACGGCCGCUAAUACCCCAUAUGCCGAGAGGUGAAACGAAUUUCGCCUGAGGAUGAGCCCGCGUCUGAUUAGCUAGUUGGUGGGGUAAGAGCCCACCAAGGCAACGAUCAGUAGCUGGUCUGAGAGGAUGAUCAGCCACACUGGGACUGAGACACGGCCCAGACUCCUACGGGAGGCAGCAGUGGGGAAUUUUCCGCAAUGGGCGAAAGCCUGACGGAGCAACGCCGCGUGAGGGAUGAAGGCCUCUGGGCUGUAAACCUCUUUUCUCAAGGAAGAAGACAUGACGGUACUUGAGGAAUAAGCCACGGCUAAUUCCGUGCCAGCAGCCGCGGUAAUACGGGAGUGGCAAGCGUUAUCCGGAAUUAUUGGGCGUAAAGCGUCCGCAGGCGGCUCUGUAAGUCUGUUGUUAAAGCGUGGAGCUCAACUCCAUUUCAGCAAUGGAAACUACAGGGCUUGAGUGUGGUAGGGGCAGAGGGAAUUCCCGGUGUAGCGGUGAAAUGCGUAGAUAUCGGGAAGAACACCAGUGGCGAAGGCGCUCUGCUGGGCCAUAACUGACGCUCAUGGACGAAAGCCAGGGGAGCGAAAGGGAUUAGAUACCCCUGUAGUCCUGGCCGUAAACGAUGAACACUAGGUGUCGGGGGAAUCGACCCCCUCGGUGUCGUAGCCAACGCGUUAAGUGUUCCGCCUGGGGAGUACGCACGCAAGUGUGAAACUCAAAGGAAUUGACGGGGGCCCGCACAAGCGGUGGAGUAUGUGGUUUAAUUCGAUGCAACGCGAAGAACCUUACCAGGGUUUGACAUCCUGCGAAUCCCUUGGAAACUUGGGAGUGCCUUCGGGAGCGCAGAGACAGGUGGUGCAUGGCUGUCGUCAGCUCGUGUCGUGAGAUGUUGGGUUAAGUCCCGCAACGAGCGCAACCCACGUCUUUAGUUGCCAGCAUUCAGUUGGGCACUCUAGAGAGACCGCCGGUGAUAAACCGGAGGAAGGUGUGGAUGACGUCAAGUCAUCAUGCCCCUUACAUCCUGGGCUACACACGUACUACAAUGCUACGGACAGAGGGCAGCAAGCUCGCGAGAGUUAGCAAAUCCCAUAAACCGUGGCUCAGUUCAGAUCGUAGGCUGCAACUCGCCUACGUGAAGGAGGAAUCGCUAGUAAUCGCAGGUCAGCAUACUGCGGUGAAUACGUUCCCGGGCCUUGUACACACCGCCCGUCACACCAUGGAAGUUGGCCAUGCCCGAAGUCGUUACUCCAACCCUUGUGGAGGAGGACGCCGAAGGU